UCAGCAUGACCUUUAUAUCCCAGGGCUACACACACGCUACAAUGGUCUGUACAAUUGGUUGCCAAGCCGCGAGGCGGAGCCAAUCCGUAAAGCAGGCCUCAGUUCAGAUUGCAGUCUGCAACUCGACUGCAUGAAGCCGGAGUUGCUAGUAACCGCAGGUCAGCAAUACUGCGGUGAAUACGUUCCCGGGUCUU
rnacentral:rRNA from 1 species